rnacentral:tRNA from 1 species
GGUUCGGUGGUCUAGGGGUAUGAUUCUCGCUUAGGGUGCGAGAGGUUCCGGGUUCAAAUCCCGGCCGAACCC